UCUUAUUCUGGCCACACUGGAAUUCCGCUCUUAAAAUUGAAAUAAAGUACUAAACUGAUCUUAACUAAAGAAUGUUGAUUUAGUUACAAUAAGCUGAAUUUUAGCCAUUAUAAGGAUUCCUAAGGCAACCAAAAUCUAAAUGUGCCACCUUACAAUAUUUUGCAAGAAAUCAACCUUUACAAGACUCAGCUUGUAAGGACAGCAGAUAGUGGCAUUCGAUAAAAGUUCGCUGAAGUCAGCAACAAAUUUGACAGGUGGUGAACAGGAUGAUUAUGCAAUAUGGAAAUAGUGGAAAACCAUGCUAGAAAAGAUAUCCUGAACUCUCAGGUCUGCUCCGAUCGCAUGAUUGCAAUUUUACUCGAGAUCCGAGUACUCCCGAGAGGUUAUUUCCGUCCUAACCGAUUAGGAAACGUGGGAGGACAAGUAUUUCCGAACUAUGGGCGAGGUUGGAGAGAGAACU